GGAGGCGUGACUCCGUGGUAGAGUGCUUGCCUAGCAGGCAUGAGGCCCUGGGUUUGAUCCCCAGCACCACCA
rnacentral:tRNA from 1 species